rnacentral:rRNA from 1 species
AAUCCAUAGGUUAAUGAGGCGAACCGGGGGAACUGAAACAUCUAAGUACCCCGAGGAAAAGAAAUCAACCGAGAUUCCCCCAGUAGCGGCGAGCGAACGGGGAGGAGCCCAGAGCCUGAAUCAGCAUGUGUGUUAGUGGAAGCGUCUGGAAAGGCGCGCGAUACAGGGUGACAGCCCCGUACACAAAAGCGCAUGUGCUGUGAGCUCGAUGAGUAGGGCGGGACACGUGGUAUCCUGUCUGAAUAUGGGGGGACCAUCCUCCAAGGCUAAAUACUCCUGACUGACCGAUAGUGAACCAGUACCGUGAGGGAAAGGCGAAAAGAACCCCGGCGAGGGGAGUGAAAAAGAACCUGAAACCGUGUACGUACAAGCAGUGGGAGCCCCACCACUAAGCCAGUGGUGAACUCCACAUACGCAUCCUUUGCUGAGGAUACGGUUAACGGAGCGAAAGCGACGUUCAACCGCAAAAGAAGCAGAGGGGGCUUAGUGGUGGGGUGACUGCGUACCUUUUGUAUAAUGGGUCAGCGACUUAUAUUCUGUAGCAAGGUUAACCGUAUAGGGGAGCCGGAGGGAAACCGAGUCUUAAUUGGGCGUUAAGUUGCAGGGUAUAGACCCGAAACCCGGUGAUCUAGCCAUGGGCAGGUUGAAGGUUGGGUAACACUAACUGGAGGACCGAACCGACUAAUGUUGAAAAAUUAGCGGAUGACCUGUGGCUGGGGGUGAAAGGCCAAUCAAACCGGGAGAUAGCUGGUUCUCCCCGAAAGCUAUUUAGGUAGCGCCUCGUGA